rnacentral:rRNA from 1 species
UACGUAGGGUGCAAGCGUUGUCCGGAAUCAUUGGGCGUAAAGCGCGCGUAGGUGGCCAUUUAAGUCCGCUGUGAAAGUCAAAGGCUCAACCUUUGAAAGCCGGUGGAUACUGGAUGGCUAGAGUACGGAAGAGGCGAGUGGAAUUCCUGGUGUAGCGGUGGAAUGCGCAGAUAUCAGGAGGAACACCAAUAGCGAAGGCAGCUCGCUGGGACGUUACUGACGCUGAGGCGCGAAAGCGUGGGGAGCAAACAGG